GCAGGUAUAGCCCAGUGGUAAGGCAGCAGCUUCCCAAGCUGCGGAGGCGGGUUCGAUUCCCGUUACCUGCU
rnacentral:tRNA from 1 species